rnacentral:lncRNA from 1 species
UGAAGUCGUUGUACCAUUCCCCAAGCAGAGUUCUCCGCAGAAUAUUUCCCCAAGAGGAGUCUCCCCACGGAGUCAGAGUAUCUGGUCAUUUUGGCUCCCUAGCCAGGGUUCAUUCGCAUUUUGUAUGUAGUAAUCAUUGCAUCUUCAAAAAUCGCGUAGCAUUUCCAUUCCUAAAUGGAGCAUUACGCCAUAGAAAAAUUCAAACAUAUGCAUUCAUGUGUUCGAAACCCCAUCAAACCGUAUUCCCUGCAGAGACGGAUUUUUGUUCAACCUGUACAAACGCAUCGGCUACAGUUACUCCAGUCAACAUUUGGUGUUUAUAAUCCCCACAGAGGUUUAUUUCCUCACCUGUUGGUGACAGAAAGUUUGUUUCUCCCCAGUGAGACCCCCUGCAAGUGUUCAGCCUAGCCCUGUCAUCUUGAGAAUGUCAGUAUACCCUGUCAGCACCCGUGUCUG